GCCAACUGGCUGCUCUGGCUCUACCUCCUCGCCACGCUCGCCCUCGUCGCCGCGCUGCUCUGCUUCACCGCCUUCGCAUUCGCCGUCACCGCCAGCAGGCCGGGCGCGGCCGGGGACGAGCAGCCCGGCCGCCUCGGGGGCGGCUACUCCACCUGGCUGCGGCGCCACGUCGAGGGCCGCAGGAGCUGGGCCCGGAUCAAGAGCUGCCUGGCCGACGCCGGCGUAUGCAAGCGCCUGGAGGAGGACGGCGACAAGAAGGAGGCGGCGGCGGGGACGCUGGCCCGGCUCGUCGGACGCGGCGGCCUGUCGCCGGUCGAGUACGGAUGCUGCAGGCCGCCCGCGAGCUGCAACUUCACGUACGCGGGGGGCACGGAGUGGACCAAGCCCAGGCCG
rnacentral:lncRNA from 1 species